UCGGCCCACUGAAUCUUCUCUGUGAGUGCUAUGGGCAGUCCGCCCCUGCGCACAUCCCUUUACUGAGACCGUGCAUGUGCCUAUGGUUAGGAGGAGUUGCAAUGCACGUACGGUAGAGGCAGGUGUCUCCAUGGGAUGCGGUCAUGAUCUCAGCAGUCAGGAUCCCGACAGUCAGAAUACUGACAGAUCCCGAAUGCUGCCACGGUGAUGCUUUGAUUGACAGCCUGUGUUGGUGCUGGCCAAUACCAUCAUACACCAGCGCACCAGAUCAUCUGUGGAAACGUGGUGGGAUGCAUUGGUGGCACAACACAGUAAAUAACUACAGGAACUGAUCUGCCAGCAAGUCCAUCAUCGUCUCAGACCUUACAGCCACUAACUUCCUGUGUGGUCAAUGUGUUAUCUAGUUUCUGGGGGAGAUUCACGAUGAGUCACCAGUUCCUUUGUAUAUGCUGAACAGGUUCAGCCUUGGGGACGUCCAAAGGGGCUGGCCUGAGUUUCCUGUUCAUUACCUGUU